UAUAUAUGAGGUACAGUAGUUUAGCGGAAUUGAAGUCGGUCUCCUAAUCUAUUGAGAACUUUCUUUCAGCCACUUGUUUCUUAUCCAUUAUAAAAUGUAUUUUUUUUUUCUAGCCAGAUUCUUGAGUGGUAUGAUUAGAUCUCAACAUCAAAUAUCGUAUGAAGUUUUCCUCUUGGCUAAAAGUUAACCAGCAAUUCCGUUAGCUGACAGAUGGUCAAACAUACACCAAGAAGUUUAAUUCAGAAAUGGUUCGGUCAACAAGAAAAGAUCGAGUCCAAUCUCAAGUCGGUCGGGUUGUAUAGUGGUUCUGAUGUCGGAGAUGUUUAGAAAAAACUUUUACUGCAAGUAAAAACUAAGAAGGAGAUCCUUACUAGUUUCAACCAGAUUCCUCAUAAUCGAACUGUUGAUACGAGCUCAAGCAUUAAGACUUUAAUGCCAGAAAAAACUUCGAGGCGAAGGCCAGCGCGUUGGUCGGGGGAUGGCCCUCAAUGGACCCAAGGGGAAACAUCUCUGGCUGGGGUCACAUUUCCAGGUCGGCGUGAACAUUUUUUGUUUUCCCAUAACAAAGCUUCAUAAGAACGCAUCAGGUUUGCAUGGAUUGAAGAUAGUUGCGUGGAAAAUGAUUUUCAAAAUGACUGGAGGUCGGUAGCAACUCAGCUAUCGAAAUUCAGUAGCAACUUUGUAUUGUGAGCACUGGCAUCUGAAACUUCAGUAGUAGCAGAGCCUUUAAAUAUGUGUUGAAUUAAAUAUAAACAUUAGACAUCUUGCACAUGCGCACCCCUACGUAUGUUGUUUCGGAGGGCCUCACGUUUUGUUGAAACUUAGGCUAAGACAUGAAUUUAAUGAUUUUUAAGAGUAUAUUAUGUUUA